GACUGUGGACGUUGACUUCCCUUGGAUCCUUACAUGUAAACUUGCGUGUUUGUGAAAAUGGCCCUUUAAGUAUAUUUAAUUUUUUGCCACAUAUUUAUUUAAAGGCGAGCAAUAUUUUCUUGGUCACAAUAUUUUUUAGUGGAAUUCCUCUCAAGGUUUUUAUACUCCUGUGUAAUAAGACUGAUGCAGAGCCCUGAAUUUCAUUCUGUCUAUGAAUACCUUUUUGAACAAAGAAAAUUUUAUUGAUUUAAAAAGCUUUUAUAUGAGACAGACAAGUCCCUGAGUUCCAGGCCAGCCUUGGUGGCAAGUCACUAGGAAACUUCAAGGUCUGUCUCAUCUUUAUUUUACUGUGUGCCCCUGGCUGUCCUGGAAAUCACUAUAUUGCUCAGGCUGGCUUCGGACUCAGAGAUCUAUCUGCUUGCCUCCAACAUUUGAGAGCAGAGAGUUUGCACCACCACUUCCCGGUUCAAGGUUCUUUUAACUGCUAACUGAAAAUGGAAUGAAAUUGCAUCCAUAGAUACUGAUGGGAUGCCAGGCUUGGAAAGUAGCUAGAAUGUAGAAGGUAUGUUGACAAAUAAGCCUCUUAGGUUACAAAGGAGUUUGGGGGGAAAAAAAUAUCCAUUGUGAAAAUGAAAGUACAGCCUAGCUCACCUGGGGCCUCCCUGCUCACACCAAUGCAGGUUUCAAUAAAGACUCAGCCAUGCUUCCGUGACUACUGUGUUGAAUUUUAGCCGCCUGCUCCUAAAGGGAGUGGGAUGGUUAGAAACAGGCAUUGGUUAAGAUGUUUCUCAUGCUUUGAACAAGCCUAUACACUUCAGAGAAAUUGCGUGCUAUCUGGGCAUGGUGAUACACUUUCUGUAAUUUCAGCAUUUGGAGGUUGAAGUAGGAACAUUUUUAAGUUAGAACCAGACAUAGUAAGAUGAUUUUAACAGCUAAACAUUUUGGGAAGAAAUUAGUGAAGUCUCCUUGGAAAACAGAGAAUUUUCUUUUUCGUAUUGAGGAUGAAAACCAGGGUCUUACACAUACAUGCACCCAGACCAGUUGUCUUAGGGUUUUUCUGCUGUGAACAGACACCCUGACCAAGGGGACUCUUAUAAAGGACAACAUUUAAUUGGGACUGGCUUACAGGUUCAGAAGUUUAGUCCAUUAUCAUCAAGGUGGGAAGCAUGGCAGCCUCCAAGCAGACAUGGUGCAGGCAGAGCUAAGAGUUCUACAUCUUCAUCUGAAGGCUGCUAGCUUAAUACUUGUUCCAGACAACUAGGACUAGGGCAUUAAAUCCCAUACCCACAGUGACACACCUACUUCAACAAGGCCACACCUCCUCACAGUGCCACUCCCUGGCCCAAGCAUAUACAAACCAUCACACACGUCUGAGCUAUCUUGUGAGAAGAGUUGGCUAGUGCUGUGUGUUUUGCAGCCUGUGUGCUUGGUGGUCUGGGGAGUGGAGGGCUUGGCAUCUUCCUUGAGGCUCGUUGCAGCUUGGGUCUUGACUCCAUUGUCUGUUCGCCUUCAUGUCUGGCUUUAGUAGUGUAGACAGGCUAGGCUGUUAGCUGCACUCAGCUCUUCACUAUCUACUAAGUGUCUACAUAAUGCUCAUUCUUUGUGUGUGUGUUCUCUCUCUGACACAAGGUUUCUCUGUACUGCUGGCUGUCCUGUAGCCCAGGCUGGCCUCAAACUCAGAUCUAACUGCUUCUGCCUCCUAAUCGCUGGGAUUAAAGGCAUGUGCUCCCACAUACAUAAUACUUUUUUUAAAAAUUUAUUUAUUAUUAAAUUUAAGUACACUGUAGCUGUCUUCAGACACACCAGAAAACGGUGUCAGAUCUCAUUAUGGAUGGUUGUGAGCCACCAUGUGGUUGCUGGGAUUUGAACUCAGGAUGUUCGGAAUGGAAGAGCAGUCAGUGAUCUC
rnacentral:lncRNA from 1 species